GAUGAACGCUCGCUACAGGCUUAACACAUGCAAGUCGAGGGGAAACGGCAUUAAGUGCUUGCACUUUUUGGACGUCGACCGGCGCACGGGUGAGUAACGCGUAUCCAACCUUCCCAUGACUAAGGGAUAACCUGCCGAAAGGCAGACUAAUACCUUAUGGUCUUCACUGACGGCAUCAGAUGUGAAGUAAAGAUUUAUCGGUUAUGGAUGGGGAUGCGUCUGAUUAGCUUGUUGGCGGGGUAACGGCCCACCAAGGCAACGAUCAGUAGGGGUUCUGAGAGGAAGGUCCCCCACAUUGGAACUGAGACACGGUCCAAACUCCUACGGGAGGCAGCAGUGAGGAAUAUUGGUCAAUGGGCGAGAGCCUGAACCAGCCAAGUAGCGUGCAGGAUGACGGCCCUAUGGGUUGUAAACUGCUUUUGUAUGGGGAUAAAGUCAAUCACGUGUGAUUGUUUGCAGGUACCAUACGAAUAAGGACCGGCUAAUUCCGU
rnacentral:rRNA from 1 species